AGUGAACGCUGGCGGUAGGCCUAACACAUGCCAGUCGAACGGCAGCACAGUAAGAGCUUGCUCUUACGGGUGGCGAGUGGCGGACGGGUGAGGAAUACAUCGGAAUCUACUUUUUCGGGGGGGAUAACGUAGGGAAACUUACGCUAAUACCGCAUACGACCUACGGGUGAAAGCAGGGGAUCUUCGGACCUUGCGCGAUUGAAUGAGCCGAUGUCGGAUUAGCUAGUUGGCGGGGUAAAGGCCCACCAAGGCGACGAUCCGUAGCUGGUCUGGGAGGAUGAUCAGCCACACUGGAAGUGAGACACGGUCAAGACUCCUACGGGAGGCAGCAGUGGGGAAUAUUGGACAAUGGGCGCAAGCCUGAUCCAGCCAUACCGCGUGGGUGAAGAAGGCCUUCGGGUUGUAAAGCCCUUUUGUUGGGAAAGAAAAGCAGCAGGUUAAUACCCCGCUGUUCUGACGGUACCCAAAGAAUAAGCACCGGCUAACUUCGUG
rnacentral:rRNA from 1 species